UACGGAGGAUGCAAGCGUUAUCCGGAUUUAUUGGGUUUAAAGGGUCCGUAGGCGGGUAUUUAAGUCAGUGGUGAAAGCCCACAGCUCAACUGUGGAACUGCCAUUGAUACUGGAUGUCUUGAGUAUAGUAGAAGUAGGCGGAAUAGGGCAUGUAGCGGUGAAAUGCAUAGAUAUGCCCUAGAACACCGAUUGCGAAGGCAGCUUACUAUGUUAUAACUGACGCUGAGGGACGAAAGCGUGGGGAGCAAACAGGAUUAGAUACCCUGGUAGUCCACGCCGUAAACGAUGAUUACUCGCUGCUGGCGAUAUACAGUCAGUGGCCAAGCGAAAGCAUUAAGUAAUCCACCUGGGGAGUACGCCGGCAACGGUG
rnacentral:rRNA from 1 species